GAUGAACGCUGGCGGCGUGCCUAAUACAUGCAAGUCGAGCGAACAGACGAGGAGCUUGCUCCUCUGACGUUAGCGGCGGACGGGUGAGUAACACGUGGAUAACCUACCUAUAAGACUGGGAUAACUUCGGGAAACCGGAGCUAAUACCGGAUAAUAUAUUGAACCGCAUGGUUCAAUAGUGAAAGACGGUUUUGCUGUCACUUAUAGAUGGAUCCGCGCCGCAUUAGCUAGUUGGUAAGGUAACGGCUUACCAAGGCAACGAUGCGUAGCCGACCUGAGAGGGUGAUCGGCCACACUGGAACUCAGACACGGUCCAGACUCCUACGGGAGGCAGCAGUAGGGAAUCUUCCGCAGUGGGCGAAAGCCUGACGGAGCAACGCCGCGUGAGUGAUGAAGGUCUUCGGAUCGUAAAACUCUGUUAUUAGGGAAGAACAAAUGUGUAAGUAACUAUGCACGUCUUGACGGUACCUAAUCAGAAAGCCACGGCUAACUACGUG
rnacentral:rRNA from 1 species